rnacentral:rRNA from 1 species
UACGUAGGGUGCGAGCGUUAAUCGGAAUUACUGGGCGUAAAGCGUGCGCAGGCGGUUAUGUAAGACAGGUGUGAAAUCCCCCGGGCUUAACCUGGGAACUGCAUUUGUGACUGCAUAGCUAGAGUACGGUAGAGGGGGAUGGAAUUCCGCGUGUAGCAGUGAAAUGCGUAGAUAUGCGGAGGAACACCGAUGGCGGAAGGCAAUCCCCUGGACCUGUACUGACGCUCAUGCACGAAAGGCGUGGGGAGCAAACAGG